GACAGAGGUGCCAAGCGUUAGGCGGAAUCACUGGGCUUAAAGGGUGUGUAGGUGGCGCGCUAAGUCGGGUGUGAAAUUUCGGAGCUUAACUCCGAAACUGCAUUCGAUACUGGAGAGCUUGAGUCCGGGAGAGGUGAGUGGAACUGCGAGUGUAGAGGUGAAAUUCGUAGAUAUUCGCAAGAACACCAGUGGCGAAGGCGGCUCACUGGCCCGAUACUGACGCUGAGGCACGAAAGCGUGGGGAGCAAACAGG
rnacentral:rRNA from 1 species